UGGCCGCCGCCACGAGAGCUCCGGCCACGGCCUUUCCGCUCGACCGUCCAUCUGUAUGUGUCGCACCGCCGCCGACCGGCUUCCGACGAGGGCGAUCUCUCCGCCCUCCGCGAGCAGACCUCCCUCGCCUCCUCCGUCGCUGUCUCCGACCUCGACCUCGCCUUCCAAAUCCAGCUCGCCGAGGCAUCCAAGUAUCCCUCCGCGGCUCCGCCUCGAUGCCGGUGUGUGUAACCUCUCCUCCUCCAAAGCAAAGCCCCCGCCUCCUUCCCCACUGCCAUUCCUUACCCGAUCCGGAAGCCAACCCCGACCUUCCUUGCCUCCUGUCGCCCGCACUUCUCCGUGAACCGUCCGACCACCCGGAGCACAUUCUCCGCGACGAGAGUUUUCGUUUGGGCCGGGGCUUGUGGCUUCCUGAUGUUGUGGUCUCUGGUAUCAUGUGUCUGCUGAGGUCGUUUUGCAGUUUGCAGAAGGCUUUGACAUGAGGCGGGGUUCUCUGAUUUGGGGGCUGCAGCUGUGGGUUUGAUUGGGUUGUACUCCAUGUGGUCAUAGGUCAAAGAGCUUUGUGAUGCGAUCAUUACUGAGAAUAAAUGAUUGAUCCAGUUAUCCAGAGUUUCAGUCCGUAUUCUAAAUGAUACAACACCAGCACGAGACUAUACAUGACAUGACAGUCACAGUUCAGAGGCUCGACACCCGGUGAAACUUCUUAAGAUCUCUGAAACUAAGGACAGACUUAUGGUUUAGGGACAAUUCCUUAGGGCAUGCAUUUGUAAUGCCUUAUGUUCCUCCCAGUGGAUGGCCUAGCCAUAAGUGAAGUACAACCUUUGUUUUAAAUAUAAGAUGUUUUGGAAGUUUAAAUUGAACUCCAAAAGCGUCUUAUAUUUAGAAACGGAGGAAGUAGUUUCUAAUGGAAUUUAUACAUUUCUGUAAUGUUGUAACCCUGAAAGAAAUCAAAUGAAGAUGGC